CCGACUUUGACAGCUACUGGUUCAGUCUUACUUUGGACGAGUACACAUCACCGUUCUCGCGGUACGCAUUCUCCGCAAAUAAUAACAAAGAAUUAAUAAUGAAGUGAUGUAGCGGGGAUAUUCCCCCACUCGUGACGACAAUAUAAGCGGACCGACUUUGACAGCUACUGGUUCAGUCUUACUUUGAAUUUCGACGAGUACACAUCACCGUUCUCGCGGUACGCAUUCUCCGCAAAUAAUAACAAAGAAUUAAUAAUGAAGUGAUGUAGCGGGGAUAUUCCCCCACUCGUGACGACAAUAUAAGCGGACCGACUUUGACAGCUACUGGUUCAGUCUUACUUUGAAUUUCGACGAGUACACAUCACCGUUCUCGCGGUACGCAUUCUCCGCAAAUAAUAACAAAGAAUUAAUAAUGAAGUGAUGUAGCGGGGAUAUUCCCCCACUCGUGACGACAAUAUAAGCGGACCGACUUUGACAGCUACUGGUUCAGUCUUACUUUGAAUUUCGACGAGUACACAUCACCGUUCUCGCGGUACGCAUUCUCCGCAAAUAAUAACAAAGAAUUAAUAAUGAAGUGAUGUAGCGGGGAUAUUCCCCCACUCGUGACGACAAUAUAAGCGGACCGACUUUGACAGCUACUGGUUCAGUCUUACUUUGAAUUUCGACGAGUACACAUCACCGUUCUCGCGAAUGAAGUGAUGUAGCGGGGAUAUUCCCCCACUCGUGACGACAAUAUAGGCGGACCGACUUUGACAGCUACUGGUUCAGUCUUACUUUGAAUUUCGACGAGUACACAUUGCAGUUCUCGCGAUACACAUUCUCCGCAAAUAAUAACAAAGAAUUAAUAAUGAAAUGGUGUAGCGGGGAUAUUCCCCCACUCGUGACGACAAUAUAGGCGGACCGACUUUGACAGCUACUGAUUCAGUCUUGCUUUCUAUUUCGACGAGUACACAUCGCAGUUCUCCAAGUACGUGUUCUCCGCAAGUAAUAGAGAAG